GCCCGCGACGUUGUGAGAAGUCCACUGAACCUUAUCAUUUAGAGGAAGGAGAAGUCGUAACAAGGUUUCCGUAGGUGAACCUGCGGAAGGAUCAUUG
rnacentral:rRNA from 1 species